rnacentral:rRNA from 1 species
UGGGGAAUUUUGCACAAUGGGGGAAACCCUGAUGCAGCGACGCCGCGUGAUUUAGAAGGCCUUCGGGUUGUAAAAAUCUUUUGUAUAGGAAGAAAAUGACAGUACUAUACGAAUAAGGACCGGCUAAUUACGUGCCAGCAGCCGCGGUAAUACGUAAGGUCCGAGCGUUGUCCGGAAUCAUUUGGCGUAAAGGGUACGUAGGCGGGUAAGCAAGUUAGAAGUGAAAUCCUAUAGCUCAACUAUAGUAAGCUUUUAAAACUGCUCAUCUUGAGGUAUGGAAGGGAAAGUGGAAUUCCUAGUGUAGCGGUGAAAUGCGAAGAUAUUAGGAGGAGUACCGGUAGCGAAGGCGACUUUCUGGCCAUAACCUGACGCAGAGGUACGAAAGCGUGGGUAGCAAACAGG